GCCGAAGGAAUACUUAUUGAAGUAGUCACAACGACGACAUCACUAGCUAGGCCGCAUAUUCCAUCGCCAGAUCCGAACCAAGCGAAGUGAAGGAAGACGGGUGUCCUUUUCGUACACUGAGUGUGGUGGAUAAACCCCCGCCUUCAUGCACUUCGUCGCGGGAGGACAAGGAGACUGCUGGUCCUAGCCUAGUUCAGUACAGUAUAUGUUGUGAGCGUGCUUCAGAUCUCCGGAGAUAGCACGGUACGCUGUGUCCAGCCCAGAGGUGAAAGCCAUCCAAAGCAGAGUAACUGUGCUUUGUGUCCAAGUUGAUACCUGUGGAGAGGAAAGGAAAGAGAGAGUGAGUAACACAAGGAGAACCAGAGGGAACCUGUACUUACAGUACGCUGUGUUCAGCCCAGAGGUGAAAGCCAUCCAAAGCAGAGUAACUGUGCUUUGUGUCCAAGUUGAUACCUGUGGAGAGGAAAGGAAAGAGAGAGUGAGUAACACAAGGAGAACCAGAGGGAACCUGUACUUACAGUACGCUGUGUUCAGCCCAGAGGUGAGAGCCAUUCAAAGCAAACUAACUGUGCUAUUGUGCCUAAGUUGAUACCUGUGGAGAGAAAAGGAGAGAGAGUGGGUAACACGAGGAGAGACCGAGGAAACCUGUACUUACGCCGCUGCCUGUGGAGAAAGAGAAAGCGACCGUUGCCUGUGGAGGAAGAGAAAGAGACCGUUGCCUGUGGAGGAAGAGAAAGAG
ensembl:lncRNA